GAGGGAUUUUCCGCAAUGGCCGAACAGCCUGACGGAGCAACGCCGCGUGUGGGAAGAAGGCUCUUGGGCUGUCAACCACUUUUCUCAGGGAAGAAGACCUGACGGUACCUGAGGAGUCAGCCUCGGCUAACUCCGUGCCAGCAGCCGCGCGUGAUACUGAGGAGGCAAGCGUUAUCCGGAAUUAUUGGGCGUAAAGCGUCCGCAGCGGGCGCAUCAAGUCUGCUGUUAAAGGCUGCAGCUUAUCUCCGGUAGAGCAGUGGAAACUGGUGCGCUAGAGGGCGACAGGGGUAGAGGGAAUUCCCAGUGUAGCGGUGAAAUGCGUAGAGAUUGGGAAGAACACCGGUGGCGAAAGCGCUCUACUGGGUCGCACCUGACCCUCAGGGACGAAAGCUAAGGUAGCGAAAGGGAUUAGAUACCCCCGUAGUCUUAGCCGUAAACGAUGGAUACUAGGCGUGGCUUGUAUCGACCCAAGCCAGUGCCGAAGCUAACGCGAUAAGUAUCCCGCCUGGGAUU
rnacentral:rRNA from 1 species